AGGUAUCACAGCGGGGAGCGGCCAUAUUCGUGCGACAUCUGCAAGAAGACCUUCAACCAGAUCUCGCACAUGAAGCGACACGAGAGGUCCGCCGACUGCGUCAAAAGGGCGGCUAAACAAAAGCUGUAGCGUGGUUUCGGUAACUACGCUUAGGGUACUUCAUUAGUACCACCGUGAUAUUCAUAUUGUAUUGUAAUGAAUUAAUAACAAUUUAAAAUAUACAUAAUUUAGCACAAUUA